UUCCAGCUCUAAUAGUGUAUAUUAAUGUUGUUGCAGUUAAAAAGCUCGUAGUUGAAUCUUGAACGUUAAUUAAGUUUGGUUUACAUUUUUAUGUAUGACUACUUAAUUGCGUUCUUCCUACUAGAUACUCGAUUCUGUUCUUAAUUGAAUGGAAUAGCAUUCUUUCGGGGGUGUCGGUAGUGAGUAAUGGCUCCUCCAGUGCAUGAAUUAGCGUAAAAACUAUGAAGUGUAUUGAGUGGAUCAAGUUGUUGCUUAUUAUUGGAGUUCUAGUUCAUUUACUUUGAGAAAAUUAGAGUGUUCAAAGCAGCCUCUUGGGGCUCUGAAUAUAUUUAGCAUGGGAUAAUAAAAUAGGAUUUUAAAUUAUAUAUUUUGUUGGUUGAUUAUUUUAAAUAAUGAUUAAUAGGACAGUUGGGGGUAGUUUAUAUUGGAUGGUUAGCGGUGAAAUGCAUGGAUCCAUUCAAG
rnacentral:rRNA from 1 species